GAGUGGUGAGGUGUUGUUUCGCAGUGGCCACCAGAGGGAGCUGUGUGUGCCAGCUCGUUAGAGAAUGGGGUGAAAACCGUUAGACCGGUAGAAGCAGCUUUGUUGUGCUCGCUACGGUGUGCUAACGUUCAUAACGGUUUUCUGCGGUCCUAAACAGAAGAUUUAUGUGAAAAACUGUGGAGCUUGUUCGGGCUCUGUGAGGAACUGUGGAGCUUGGUAUGUCCUGGGAUAUUUGCCAGUUAGGGUGAAUGGCCCGUUGCCUUCCACAAUUUCGAGUUGUAAGCCAAGUUUACUAUGUGAGUAUUUUGAAAUGUUACACUAGGUUUAUCAUAUUGUAAGAAGUCUGUGUGAUUUUAUUUAUUUUUCUUUUGUAGAAGCGUGCCUGCUUCGGUUGUUUAUGCACUCAAUAAAAAAAAGAGAUUUAUUUGA